GGAAAAGGUCCUCGAAGGCUCUACCGCGACGUGCAGCCGCUUCCUCCACUCGGUCCCCUCCCAUGGCGACCGCUCUCCCAACCUCCGCUGCCGCCGCCACCGCCACCGCCGCCGUUCGGAUCUUCCAACCGACCCGGUUCCGCCUCCCUAGAACCUCUUCCGUGCUUGCCCGCAAGCGUUCCGCUAGUCGCCGCCUCUCCGGCAUCACCUGCUCUCCCGGGAUUGCCAGCGUCGCCGGCCAAGCCACGUCCCCGGAGGACGCCGUCCGCAUCGUGGUCGUCGUCGGCGACGGAAGCAUCAGCCCGCUCAAGGAUACGCCAUGGGACGAGGUUAUGCGCCAUACGGCUGAUAGGUUGAAGUGGGUUGAUGAAGGAUUUGAAAUGCUUGUAUUCACUGACAAGUGGAUUGACCAUGAUGAUCUUAAGAAAGAGUUGUCUCGCUGUGAUAUGCUAGUCAAUGUUGCAAUAACAGGCCAGGAGUCUGUUCAGUGGCUUAUGGAUAACAGCAAGAACAUACCGAAUGUACUUUGCUUUCAGUCAUCUCCGUCCUUAGUAAACAAGCUAGGUGGCACGUAUGUUCAAUACACGGGAGAACAGGACUUCUUUGGCAAGCUAAUCAAUGUUGGAAAACCAAGUGGAACAGAGGAAUCAACUGAAGUCCUCAAGACGAUAUCCAAUGCCUGGGAAAGGCACAACUCAGAUGACAUUAGGUUUUGCUUACUUGUUGUGGUUAAUGCAUACAUAAGACCGGUGGCUAUGCUGAAAAACCUUAGGGCAAAAGGUCUGUCUACCCUAGGUUGUAUGAUAACAAACUGCGGUCCUCAAAUACUGAAUUGUUUGUUUGAUCCCGACUGUAGGAAAGCCAUUCAAUGUCUGAAUUCUUGCUCUCCAACCGACCAGGUCUGUAACUAUCGCUGCAUUGCAUCGUACGAGAGUCCACAUCUAGAGGCUUUUUCCCUCUGUGUUUUGCAAAAGCACAACUGCCUUGAGCUCAAUGCUGAGAUCCCUAGUAAGCCCUCUGUGACCCCACUAUCAAUGUUCAGAGAACUAAAGCUUAGCCAUGAAGUUGCAGAAGACCUGUUUGUCGGUUGGCUGGACGGCUUGGAGUGGAGCUGGAGAGUUGUAGCUGGACAAAAUCCAGCAUAUGACCAAUUCCCAUGCCAGUACCAAUUAUUCUACAGAGGGAAAGCUAAAGGUUCAUUUUGGUACGAGCCAAUUUUUCAAGUCAGAACCCUGGAAGGAAAGCUGGUUUGGAGGCGUAGAAAGUACAGAGUGAGAAGAGCUAGCACCCCUGGUACAUUUUAUUUCAGUGUGCUGGAUAAUGGUGUGGUUUCGAAAGAGUUUUGGACAGUUGUUGAUGUUUCGGAUGAUUUCGGCUGGGGUCUGUUCCAUUACCAUGGAGCUGCUCAGGCUGCUGGACAAUCAUACACUGGAGCAGUGCUUGUUACCCCUGAUGGGUCUUAUCCUGACGGGGACAACCCAAGAUUGGACUCUGCUUUGGAGAAAUGUGGUAUCAAGAAAUGGGAGCUUUAUAUGGUUGACAACUGCUCCUGCACGGGCGCGCCUUUGGGAACCCCCGAAGGUUCACGGCUGCAUUACCAGAUCGCUCCAGGAAAAGAAGCUGGCAUUAUGCAGAGAAUAUGAUGUUCACACAGCAUGAAAGGGGCAAUUCCUUCCCCAACUGAUGUACAUGUGCACCUCUACUUACAAAGAUGUAAAGAAUGACCGCCGGUAUUACCAAAUGGAUCUUAUUUGUAAUUGGGAGGUCGACGUUGGAUGCAAUGUUCAAGGGGCGUCUUCAUCACUUGUAUAAAUCCUGGAUCCUCACACAUAGCAGGAGUGCAGGACAGAAGGGUUCAUCCUGUGUCUGCUAUGCCAGUCCCACUGUCCCCAGUUCUCUGCUGGUGUUCCGUUCUGGUUGCUGUACAGUUAUCUUUUGCCGCUUACUGUAAACUUGUAGUGAACAUAAACGAGCCAUUAUCGUGUAGACAACUAAGUCGUUAAUACAUGUGUUGUUGCGAUAUUUAAGCAUCUUGAAGUGUUCCCACUUAUGGCUGCUGGAGCAUCUUAUGGAUGUUCAGAUAGUUCAGUUCGGUGUAUACUUUUAUGUUGGCGAAGCAAAAAUGGUGUUCUUCACACAAGCUAGAGUAAGCAAAGUCUCCUACGUCUGGUUGACCUGCUUUAUACCCCCAAUCCACAGGUUUCAUUCAGAUCUGAUGCGUUCCAAUGCUUUUAACCCAUCAUUCCAUAAAGUUUGAUGCACUCCCUGUAUUUACCCCUGUGGCUUUCCUUGGAUGCCUACUGAUUCCAUGUUGAAAACCAUCUCACUGCUGCGUUAACUUCUGGUGUCUGCUGCAUUAUUUUUCAGCACGUGGUAGUGUAAAGUCUGAGAGAGAAAUUGCUGCAGUUUAAGAUUCUGAAUCCUAGUGGAUAAUUCAUGGCUACCUUUUUAUAUGGAUCAUAUGACCACAUUGACUUUGACUUUGACUUUGACUCCAAGGUGAUAGUAGUCUAUAAAUUCCAGGCAUUUGACAGACGGCAGUUGAUAACAGCGGCAGCGCACAAGAAUGGCGGGGCUGUAUGAGAAACCGUCGGAGACGUACGCCAAGAAGCGGCCGCGGUACCCCAAGGAGUGGUUCUCCAUGCUCGCCUCCCUCACCGCCGGCCACCACCGCGCCUGGGACGCCGGCUGCGGCACCGGCCAGGCCUCCGUCAGCAUCGCGGAGCACUACGACGGCGUGGUCGCGACGGACGUGAGCGAGGGCCAGCUCCGCCACGCCAUCGCGCACCCCAAGGUGCGGUACCUGCACACGCCGGAGGACCUCCCGGAGGACGACCUCGUCGCCCUGGUCGGCGGCGAGGGCUCCGUGGACCUGGUCAUCGUGGCGACCGCGAUCCACUGGUUCGACGUCCCGCUCUUCUACGCCGUGGUGAACCGCGUCCUCAGGAGGCCAGGCGGCGUCCUCGCCGUGUGGGGGUACAACUACGACAUCCACCCGUUCGGGGACAAGCUGCAGGGGACGCUGUACCCGGCCAUGCGGCCGUACAUGGACCCGAGGACGAGGCUGGCCAUGGAGCGGUACCGCCAGCUGCCGUUCCCGUUCGAGCCCGUCGGGGUGGGCCGCGAGGGCGAGCCGGCCGACGUCGACAUGGAGGCGGAGAUGACGCUGGAGGACCUGGCCGGGUUCGUGAUGACCGGCUCCGUCGCGACCACGGCUAGGGAGAAAGGGGUGGACCUGGAGGCGCUGGUGAAGGGUGUGAUGAAGGAGGUGGAAGAGGGGUGGGGGGAUCGGCCGACGGUGCCCAGGAAGCUUGUGUUCAAGGCCUUCAUGCUGGCUGGGAGGCCCAGGUGAUAGAUGAACUGCUGGCUGGUGAAUUGGGAUCAGUACCGUAGAGUAAAAUACUAAAAUGUGAAGUUUGCGACUUAUUACUGCCUUCUUUUCAAAAUACUUUAAAGUUCUAGAUUUAUACUAAGUCAAAUAUCUUCAAGUUUCACCAAGUUGUCAUUCGUAGUCUAAAAAUCUUGAUGCAAUCUCUACUAUCUAAAAGAAACGGAGCGUUUCGUUUCCCCUCUUAGGUUCGUCCAACCUGCGUUUCGCUCGUCGCUCCUCUAAUCGCUCGCACAUGGGCCAAAGGCCAAAGCCCAGCCCCGGCGAGCCAUUCCUUCCUCCUGAUCUAAAAAAAGGCACUCCUUCCUCCUCACGCCCUCGAACUGGCGGCGCUAGGGUUUUAGCGUUGUCACCCAUCCCCAACCCGUCCUUGGCUCCUGGGCUGCCGCUCGACCUCCACGGUCGCUCCUCGCCAACGCUUGCUUCCCCGUAUCUCGCCUUUCGUCGAUAUGGACUUGUGCUCCCCGCCCCCAUGGUGAUGUGCUGGAAGCGUGCUCCGCGGCUCCUCCCCCACGGUCUCGCACGGGAAGGGCGAGGGCGAGUCCUGGUGGCUGAUGCAUGUGGGUGCCAAUGUGGUGCCUGUUAAGAUUUCCACUGAUUUCUUCUCCGUUCAAAAUUGUCUAGCCAGCAACCUUUCCGCCUGGUUUCCAGUGAUAGUUGACAUCAGGAAGGAACUCACAAAGUUCAGUAAUGCCCAGGUUAAGUAUGCCCAGGUUAAGUACACCAGCAGAAACAAAAACACGCUAGCUCACCUCUGAGUCACGGAAAUAUGCAAAUGAUUGCUGGGCGUACUAGAUGACCUGGCUGCAGGUUUAGCUGCCGACGCUAUGUUGGCUGAAGAGUAGUUUUUUGUACUCUGUUUUCACGUUUCAUGUUUUCUUCUUAUUGUUUUCUCUGAAUUUUUUCCAACCAGGCUGACAACCCCUUUCCAUUGAAUAACAAAAUAUUCAGUUCAGUACAAGGAUCGACCAACUCUACAGUACAUCAUGACAACCAAAAAAAUAAUUAGUUAGAUGCAGAUGUGUGAAUGAUGAAUGGGUGCCGCCUUAAAUCAUCAGCACAUGAGUGGUUGCCUGAUCAAAUGCUCACCCUGGACGGCCUGCUCGCCAAAGUGGUUACGCCGAGUUAUAGCUACUGGGCCACCGUCUCGCCGCUCUGGGUGUGGUGUCACUCCUGUUCCCGACAUCAGUAAUCAAUAUGUUGACUUGGCACUUCCAUUUGCGACAUACCUGGUAAUUGUCGAAGAGUUGGAUGAUUGUAAGCCGGAUGUACCAUUAACAACAAUGGUGAGGAUGGAUUGGGGAGACGAAGAUUACAGGAGGACAAAGAAGGAGGAGGAGGAUUUCAAGGUAAAAAGAUCGACAAUGCUAUUUGAUGUGCAUGAGGAUCCUAAACAAAACAUAAUUGAUGUGAAACCAAUAGGAUAUUUAUGCCCCGUUGCAACGCACGGGCAAUUACCUAAUUUUUAUUGAAAAAUGUUAUUUGGCUUACGUUCCUGGAAACAUUAUCCCAGCAAACUACCUAGGAACUGUUGACAUUUGG
rnacentral:rRNA from 1 species